CCGCUCUUAGCUCAGUUGGAUAGAGCAACGGAUUCCGAUUCCGUAGGUCGGGGGUUCGAGUCCCCUAGGGCGGGCCA
rnacentral:tRNA from 1 species